GAUGAAGAACGCAGCGAAAUGCGAUAAGUAAUGCGAAUUGCAGAAUUCAGCGAGUCAUCGAAUCUUUGAACGCAUAUUGCGCCCCUUGGUAUUCCGAGGGGCACACCCGUCCGAGCGCCGUUCGAAACCUCAGGCCGCGCCUGGCGUUGGGGAGGCCGUGCGGCCCCCCCCCGAAACCCUUUGGCGACGCAGGCCGUCCGCGAACGCAGCGAAAACCGCGUCCGGCCGGACCCCGCGGCCGCCGGUCCCUUUUGGAAGGUUUGGCCUCGGAUCGGGUGGGGACACCCGCUGAACUUAAGCAUAUCAAUAAGCGGAGGA
rnacentral:misc_RNA from 1 species